rnacentral:rRNA from 1 species
ACGGGAGGCAGCAGUGGGGAAUAUUGCACAAUGGAGGAAACUCUGAUGCAGCGACGCCGCGUGAGUGAAGAAGUAUUUCGGUAUGUAAAGCUCUAUCAGCAGGGAAGAGAAUGGCGGUACCUGACUAAGAAGCACCGGCUAAAUACGUGCCAGCAGCCGCGGUAAUACGUAUGGUGCAAGCGUUAUCCGGAUUUACUGGGUGUAAAGGGAGCGCAGGUGGCCUGGCAAGCCAGAAGUGAAAGCCCGGGGCUUAACCCCGGGACUGCUUUUGGAACUGUUGGGCUGGAGUGCAGGAGGGGUAAGCGGAAUUCCUAGUGUAGCGGUGAAAUGCGUAGAUAUUAGGAGGAACACCAGAGGCGAAGGCGGCUUACUGGACUGUAACUGACGCUGAGGCUCGAAAGCGUGGGGAGCAAACAGGAUUAGAUACCCUGGUA